AAGUCGUAACAAGGUUUCCGUAGGUGAACCUGCGGAAGGAUCAUUAUAAAAUUUUCAUAUAUUUAAAAUUCAUUUAAUAUAUAAAAUUAUAUACAAAAUGUAUUCAAAACCCACACUCUUUAUAACCAUAAAAAAAUUUAUAUUAUUAUUUAUAAUAUAAAAAAAAAACAACUUUCAACAACGGAUCUCUUGGCUCUC
rnacentral:misc_RNA from 1 species